GACGUAGGGCGCGAGCGUUGUCCGGAUUUAUUGGGCGUAAAGAGCUCGUAGGCGGCUUGUCGCGUCGUCCGUGAAAACUUGGGGCUCAACCCCAAGCCUGCGGUCGAUACGGGCAGGCUAGAGUUCGGUAGGGGAGACUGGAAUUCCUGGUGUAGCGGUGAAAUGCGCAGAUAUCAGGAGGAACACCGGUGGCGAAGGCGGGUCUCUGGGCCGUAACUGACGCUGAGGAGCGAAAGCAUGGGGAGCGAACAGGG
rnacentral:rRNA from 1 species